rnacentral:rRNA from 1 species
UACGGAGGAUGCGAGCGUUAUCCGGAUUUAUUGGGUUUAAAGGGUGCGUAGGCGGGCUUUUAAGUCAGCGGUAAAAAUUCGGGGCUCAACCCCGUCCGGCCGUUGAAACUGGGGGCCUUGAGUGGGCGGGAAGAAGGCGGAAUGCGUGGUGUAGCGGUGAAAUGCAUCGAUAUCACGCAGAACCCCGAUUGCGAAGGCAGCCUUCCGGCGCCCUACUGACGCUGAGGCACGAAAGUGCGGGGAUCGAACAGG